GAAGGUAUAGCUCAGUGGCAGAGCACACGCUUAGCAUACACAAGAUCCUGGGUUCAAUCCCUGGUACCUCCA
rnacentral:tRNA from 1 species